GAAUUUCUGUGCUGGCAAGAAAAUAACAUCAACCUUACUUAAUUAUAUAGCUCAAAAUUAAAAUAAAAGUUCUAUAGUUUAACUUAUAAACUCACUUUCUACGGACAGCAGUUGUGUGGUAUUACCAAUGCUUUUCAACUUUGUUUCAUAAAAUCUUUCUUUCUUUCCACUUUUAUUAUGGUCGCUUUGGUUUGUACACACACACGAAGCACAGAAGCACAAUAGUCAACACGAUUCUUUGAUAAUCCGGUAAUUUUGGAAAUUGGGUCAGUGGCCUUGUGCAGCUUCAGAUCUUCGAUUGAGCAAACGCAGCCUUGCUACUGCCAUUAAAUUUUGGGAAAAAAGCUCAUGAUUGCCAUCAAUGAACGCCGCUGAGCACUAACAAACGCUGACGUAGUGAAAAGUGCAGCAUCUUCGCGAACGAAUCACCGAAGAAGAAAAAAAACAACAAAAAGGAUUUGGCGAAAUAAGAAGAGUACGAAAGAAAAGCCACUAAACAAUCUUCUCAUUGCAGCUCAUUUUAUUGACUCGCCUUCAUGGUACAUUGCAACUACAAUGAGUUCAAUGGCUAAUAUUGCAUUGUUAGUAUUUAUAUAGUUUUGAUGUCUAUUCUGAAAUGUGCGCAGUCGUAAUUUUAGAUUUUGUCGUACACAUAACAGUGCAUGAGGUCUCCUGUAGGAAAUAAAAAAUCACUUGAAAAGAACACAAAAUUAUUGAUGAAUGGAAAACAAAUAUAAGAUUUUUGUUAAGAUUUUUCUUAUAUUACAGUUGUUACUUUCAAAUUUAUAUGUAAUUUCUAAAUGUUCUAACAUAUUCAACU